UACGUAGGGACCAAGCGUUGUUCGGAUUUACUGGGCGUAAAGGGCGCGUAGGCGGCUUGACAAGUCACUUGUGAAAUCCCCGGGCUUAACCUGGGAAUGGCAUUUGGGACUGCAAGGCUCGAGUGCGGCAGAGGAGACUGGAAUUCCUGGUGUAGCAGUGAAAUGCGUAGAUAUCAGGAGGAACACCGAUGGCGAAGGCAGGUCUCUGGGCUGACACUGACGCUCAUGCACGAAAGCGUGGGGAGCAAACAGG
rnacentral:rRNA from 1 species